UGGAAAGAUACAAAAAUGUACGCAGUUUCUCAUUUGCUGUGGACAUGACCAUAAAAAUUUUCCCACUAGGUUUUCUAUAUGCUACUUUGUUAGCAAUCAAUCUAUCAGGAACAACG
rnacentral:snoRNA from 1 species